rnacentral:rRNA from 1 species
GACGAACGCUGGCGGCGUGCUUAACACAUGCAAGUCGAACGGUAAGGCCCUUCGGGGUACACGAGUGGCGAACGGGUGAGUAACACGUGGGUGAUCUGCCCUGCACUUCGGGAUAAGCCUGGGAAACUGGGUCUAAUACCGGAUAGGACCCUGGGAUGCAUGUCCUGGGGUGGAAAGCUUUUGCGGUGUGGGAUGGGCCCGCGGCCUAUCAGCUUGUUGGUGGGGUGAUGGCCUACCAAGGCGACGACGGUUAGCCGGCCUGAGAGGGUGACCGGCCACACUGGGACUGAGAUACGGCCCAGACGCCUACGGGAGGCAGAAGUGGGGAAUAUUGCACAAUGGGCGCAAGCCUGAUGCAGCGACGCCGCGUGAGGGAUGACGGCCUUCGGGUUGUAAACCUCUUUCAGCACCGACGAAGCGCAAGUGACGGUAGGUGCAGAAGAAGGACCGGCCAACUACGUGCCAGCAGCCGCCGUAA